UACGUAGGGUGCAAGCGUUAAUCGGAAUUACUGGGCGUAAAGCGUGCGCAGGCGGUUUUGUAAGUCUGUCGUGAAAGCCCCGGGCUCAACCUGGGAAUUGCGGUGGAGACUGCAAGGCUUGAAUCUGGCAGAGGGGGGUAGAAUUCCACGUGUAGCAGUGAAAUGCGUAGAGAUGUGGAGGAACACCGAUGGCGAAGGCAGCCCCCUGGGUCAAGAUUGACGCUCAUGCACGAAAGCGUGGGGAGUAAACAGG
rnacentral:rRNA from 1 species